UAUAUAUAAUGUACACACUAUGCUGCUAAAUUUUGUUUCAUAGCUAAAUAUUUGAUAUUAAAUGAAAGCCCUGUUUCCCCUGAAUAAAAUGAUAUAUAAUAAGGGUGGGUGUAUUUACUAUGAAAGAGGUGAAUUACGGUUGGACAGACAUGUAGCGCAAAUGCCAGGUUUUGUUUACAUUUUGUUUCGUUCACAACGUGUACAUUUGGCU